GCGGGCCCGGCCGAGCGGCAGCACCUGCCCUCGAGGGUGGUCCCCGCGGACCGAGGCGUGCCGGGCCGUGCGGAGAGGCGCGGCCCAGAUGGCUACAUCAGAGGAAUUUCUCCACAUAUUCAGAACGUCCUAAAAGCUCCACAAAAUCUUCAUCAUGAGUGAUUACCAGAAGCUGGAAGUUACGCUGCUUUACUUGGGUGAGUUGGCUCCCCAGGCUUUUGAGAUACCUGCCUUUUGUCCAGCACUGCAUCGUCCUCGCAUAUCCAAGGCCGUGUCUCCCUUCAGCAUCACCACUCGGUAGUUAUAAUUCCGCCUUUUAUCUGAAGCUGAUACAUUUUCAUCGGCAUCAGACCGUAUUUCUAUGUAUUCAAUAUCUGACACAGAAAAAAGAAUAUUUUAAAGGAACC